rnacentral:rRNA from 1 species
UCUACGAGACAACGUUCGAGCUCGCCUCGACCACGUACCCUUGACCUCAAAUCGGGUGAGACUACCCGCUGAACUUAAGCAUAUCAAUAAGCGGAGGAAAAGAAACUAACGAGGAUUCCCCUAGUAACUGCGAGUGAAGCGGGAAAAGCUCAAAUUUAAAAUCUGACGGUCCUUGGCCGUCCGAGUUGUAAUUUAGAGAAGCGUCUUCCGCGCCGGACCGUGCACAAGUCUCCUGGAAUGGAGCGUCGUAGAGGGUGAGAAUCCCGUCUUUGGCACGGAUCCCCGGUGCUUCUGUGAUGCGCUCUCGAAGAGUCGAGUUGUUUGGGAAUGCAGCUCAAAAUGGGUGGUGAACUCCAUCUAAAGCUAAAUAUUGGCGAGAGACCGAUAGCGAACAAGUACCGUGAGGGAAAGAUGAAAAGCACUUUGGAAAGAGAGUGAAACAGUACGUGAAAUUGUUGAAAGGGAAACGCUUGAAGUCAGUCGCGUCGACCGAGACUCAGCCUCGCCUUGGCUUGGUGUACUUCUCGGCCCGACGGGUCAGCRUCGAUUUCGUCUCUCGGAAAAUGGCAAGGGAAAGGUGGCACCUUUGCGGGUGUGUUAUAGUCUCCUGUCGCACGCGAGGGGUUAGAUCGAGGAACUCAGCACGCGCCUUUUGGUGUCGGGGCUUCGGCCCACGUAACGUGCUUAGGAUGCUGGCGUAAUGGCUUUAAACGACCCGUCUUGAAACACGGACCAAGGAGUCCAACAUGCCCGCGAGUGUUCGGGUGGAAAACCCGUGCGCGUAAUUAAAGUGAAAGUUGGGACCUCUGUCGUGGAGGGCACCGACGCCCGGACCAGACCUUCUGUGACGGAUCUGCGGUAGAGCGUGUAUGUUGGGACCCGAAAGAUGGUGAACUAUGCCUGAAUAGGGUGAAGCCAGAGGAAACUCUGGUGGAGGCUCGUAGCGAUUCUGACGUGCAAAUCGAUCGUCAAAUUUGGGUAUAGGGGCGAAAGACUAAUCGA